AUUACGAAGAACUCACACAGGCAUGCAGGUUUCUUCGCGGAGUUUUCCUUCACCGUUAAAGCAAGUGAUAUUUAGUUGCUCAUUAAAACGCAAAUAACUCCGAAAAGAAACCUCGACCUCCCGAAAAAAGGUUAUCACAGGAAUAGCCCCAAUAGAGAAUUUAUAGGUUCUAUAGUUAGCAUUGUUUGUUUUCAUUGUUAUCACUUAUCACCGGUCGAUAUCCACGACAGGCUGCUGUCAACGACAGAUCUAUAAUUACACUCAUAUUUAUAAAUCUGGAGAUUGGGCGUGGCGCGUAGGCGCCCCGGAGUGGAGACAAUUUCGUGUCACGAGCCAGUUUUCUGGAGCCGUUUGUCCAGUCCACGCGUCCACCAUGCCGCAGCACGAGACCACGAGCCUCAUCGCCACCUACCUCAUCCUGGUGCUGCUCCUCGCCAGCCUCUGGCUACUCUACUCUGGAAUGUUCUGAGGUGCACAAGAUGUGGUCGGGACAAGACAAAAUUAGAGACCAAUAUAAGAUGGCGGAUAGACGAUCGCUGUAAAACCAAUUUAAUUUUAAGAAACCGUAAUUUUAGUGUUAAGUUAACUCUACUUUAAGAAUAAUGUUGUAUACACCCAAGCAUUUAUAUGACACGAACUCGGAUCAUCAGCUGAACGAAGCUCAAUGUUACUCAAACAUAAAGAGUACAAGAAACGGGAUUGUAAUUAUAAGCAAGCAGAACACCAAAGGAACACUGUACAGUGCUGGGCAUUCCAAGUUAAUUAAAAACUAAAAAUGUAUUUACAUAAAACGUGAAAGACAACUAUUUAAAUCGUCAAAUUAACAUCCAGUGAAAUUAUGUUAAAUGGUAACAUUUUUUGUUAUUCGGUGCAGUUCGACUAUUUUAGAAUGUUAUUACUUAUUGUUGUUAAGAACUAAGUAAAUUUUGUAAUAAAUUUUUUAAGAAAA